rnacentral:misc_RNA from 1 species
GAUGAAGAACGUAGCGAAAUGCGAUACUUGGUGUGAAUUGCAGAAUCCCGUGAACCAUCGAGUCUUUGAACGCAAGUUGCGCCCGAAGCCAUCAGGUUGAGGGCACGUCUGCCUGGGCGUCACAUAUCGUUGCCCAAUGCCUAUUGCAGUGCAAUAGGAAUUUCUAGGGCGAAUGAUGGCUUCCCGUGAGCGUUGUUGCCUCGCGGUUGGUUGAAAAUCGAGUCCUUGGUAGGGUGUGCCAUGGUAGAUGGUGGUCGAGUUAGAACGAUACCGAUCAUGUGCAUGCUCCCCAAAAUAUGGCCUCUAUGACCCACACGCGUCUUUUGACGCUCAUGACGAGACCUCAGGUCAGGCGGGGCUACCCGCUGAAUUUAAGCAUAUCAAUACGCGGAGGA